rnacentral:sRNA from 1 species
UCUCCUAAUUUUGCCGACGACAUGUGCCA